AUUGAACGCUGACGGAAUGCUUUGCACAUGCAAGUCGAACGGCAGCACGGGGGCAACCCUGGUGGCGAGUGGCGAACGGGUGAGUAAUACAUCGGAACGUGCCCAGUCGUGGGGGAUGACGUAGCGAAAGUUACGCUAAUACCGCAUACGAUCUACGGAUGAAAGCGGGGGACCGUAAGGCCUCGCGCGAUUGGAGCGGCCGAUGUCAGAUUAGGUAGUUGGUGAGGUAAAGGCUCACCAAGCCGACGAUCUGUAGCUGGUCUGAGAGGACGACCAGCCACACUGGGACUGAGACACGGCCCAGACUCCUACGGGAGGCAGCAGUGGGGAAUUUUGGACAAUGGGCGCAAGCCUGAUCCAGCCAUUCCGCGUGCAGGACGAAGGCCUUCGGGUUGUAAACUGCUUUUGUACGGAACGAAAAGGCUCUGGUUAAUACCUGGGGCUCAUGACGGUACCGUAAGAAUAAGCACCGGCUAACUACGUGCCAGCCGCCGCAGUAA
rnacentral:rRNA from 1 species